AACGUAGGUUCCGAGCGUUAUCCGGAUUUACUGGGCGUAAAGCGCGUUCAGGUGGUUUGGCAAGUCGGGCAUGAAAUCUCUCGGCUCAACCGGGAGAGGUUGUCCGAUACUGCUGGACUUGAGGGCAGUAGAGGGUGGUGGAAUUCCGGGUGUAGUGGUGAAAUGCGUAGAUAUCCGGAGGAACACCAGUGGCGAAAGCGGCCACCUGGACUGCACCUGACGCUGACACGCGAAAGCUAGGGGAGCGAACGGG
rnacentral:rRNA from 1 species